AGCCUUAUAUUCAUGAAUGAUAUAAAAUUGCAAAUUUUAAGGAGUAAAUAUUACUAAGGCUU
rnacentral:tRNA from 1 species